GGUGCUGAAGCUCAGUGGCAGAGCACAUGCUUAACAUGCAGGAAGCCCUGAGUUCAAUCCCCAGAACCCCCC
rfam:Ictidomys tridecemlineatus contig063585, whole genome shotgun sequence.